rnacentral:rRNA from 1 species
CAAUAGCGUAUAUUAAAGUUGUUGCAGUUAAAAAGCUCGUAGUUGGAUCUGUGGUGUGCGGUGGGCUCCGGGCACUUGUUGUCUGAGUAGCUCGCCGCUGCCAUCCUUGGGUGGAACCUGUGUGGCAUUAGGUUGUCGUGCAGGGGAUGCCCAUCGUUUACUGUGAAAAAAUUAGAGUGUUCAAAGCAGGCUUAUGCCGUUGAAUAUAUUAGCAUGGAAUAAUGAGAUAGGACUUUUUCGCUAUUUUGUUGGUUUGCGCGAAGAGGUAAUGAUUAAUAGGGACAGUUGGGGGUAUUCGUAUUCCAUUGUCAGAGGUGAAAUUCUUAGAUUUUUGGAAGACGAACUACUGCGAAAGCAUUUACCAAGGAUGUUUUCAUUAA